ensembl:snRNA U6 U6 spliceosomal RNA
GUGCUCGCUUCAGCAGCACAUAUACUAAAAUUGGAACGAUACACAGAAGAUUAGCAUGGCCCCUGCACAAGGAUGACACCUAAACCAGAUGCUGUCUCAAAAGUGUCU